rfam:Corchorus capsularis cultivar CVL-1 contig14365, whole genome shotgun sequence.
AGGGAUUUAGCACAGCUUGGUAGCACGUUUCUUUUGGUACAAAAUGUUAUGGGUUCAAAUCCUAUCAUCCCUA